rnacentral:rRNA from 1 species
GACGAACGCUGGCGGCGUGCUUAACACAUGCAAGUCGAACGAUGAAGCCCUUCGGGGUGGAUUAGUGGCGAACGGGUGAGUAACACGUGGGCAAUCUGCCCUUCACUCUGGGACAAGCCCUGGAAACGGGGUCUAAUACCGGAUAACACCUGCCCGGGCAUCCGGGUGGGUUAAAAGCUCCGGCGGUGAAGGAUGAGCCCGCGGCCUAUCAGCUUGUUGGUGAGGUAGUGGCUCACCAAGGCGACGACGGGUAGCCGGCCUGAGAGGGCGACCGGCCACACUGGGACUGAGACACGGCCCAGACUCCUACGGGAGGCAGCAGUGGGGAAUAUUGCACAAUGGGCGAAAGCCUGAUGCAGCGACGCCGCGUGAGGGAUGACGGCCUUCGGGUUGUAAACCUCUUUCAGCAGGGAAGAAGCGAAAGUGACGGUACCUGCAGAAGAAGCGCCGGCUAACUACGUGC